CCGCCAUAUUUUUCUGCAGCUACCAGUAUCAUUCGUUCUUUAAUCAAACGCUGACUUGGAACGACGGCUAUCGGAAUACUCACAUAAAUCAACUUACGACAAACCAAAGAUGAAGCUGAUAGCACUCGGGCUUAUCCUGAUCUGUUGCAACGUCUGGGCAGCGAAGACAAGCCUUUCACGCGACGAGCCUCUACCACGACGAUGAACGGUCCAAGGAAAUGAGCAUCUUAAUAUCCAAUAAGUUGCCUAAACUAAUCCAGGAGAGACAAAAGGAUUUUACAAACUAUAUUAAUAAUGUGAUCACGGUUAACGCUAAUCAAUAUUUAUCCAGCAUAAAGCUUAAAGAACUAUUGAAAAAGUUAGGUCUGUAAUAACUUUAUAUCGUUGUUACGCUAUCGUUUCAAUUAGUCAUUCUUACAAAUGCGAUUCCAGUCAAUUAAAUGAAACAAAUGUAUGGUCAUGAAUUUAAAGAGCAUCUAUUGGUGAAACAUCGUCAGGGAUCAAAAAAAUCCUUAACGAGGCUUGCACCAAAUUUUAUUUCUGUAAUAUGCCAAUAAAGUCAGUACUAAAAAUUACAAGA